AUAUACCCGGAAAGUGUUCAUGAGUGAAUAAAAAUAAAAAAUGAGGCUUCGACCGGAUUCAGGUUUUGUUUGUGCUUUAUCUAAUAAUUUACCUACAGUGGAUUCCUUCAUGGUGGCGCAGUUGUUUGGGAAUAAUUCAGAUUUAAUUGCAGCAGAAAUACGAGGAGCGAAAGCUAACCUAUCUUGUAGAGGGUCAUAUGGAGAUGCAGCUAUAUAGGUUAUGUACAAGUACAACGUGAAGGUUCUGUAUGUACAGUUCAAUGCAAAAUGACUCCUGAGCAUCGGGUUGGAAGUAAACCUUACAAAGUUACAAUCAAAGUGGACAUGAAGGAGAAUUCUGUGAUAUCUGCCGAAUGUCAUGACUGUGUAGCUGCCCCAGGGGGCUGUCAACAUGCUAUUGCCUUCCUAACGUGGUUACAUCGAAGAAGUGAGGAACCGUUGCCCACUGAAGUAGCCUGUUACUGGAAGAAAUCAACUCUAUCGAAGAUUGGUUCCGAUAUUAAAUUCAUAAAGGCUAAAGAUUUUCCAUCAUCUCAAGACGCCACUCCUAUGGAAAAAAAUCUCAAUGUACGGGAAUUAUUUGUGGAGGAAUGUGCAUCAACACAAUUCAACUGUCAAUUACUUAAUUAUUAUCGUGACACUGAGAGUUAUCUAAGGGUAACGAUACAUGAUUUGUUGAUUAAUUUUAUUGAGCAGGGAGGAAGUUCAGCUGAUCAGUUUUUCUCUUUCUGCAGAAAUAAAAUGUCAAAUACUAUU